AUGCAUUCUGGCUCCAUCCAGCUAAUUUUUCAUGCACAAAUUGCAGGUGCCAAGCAUAUUUGGCACAGUCCAGGAAUGCCUGGACAAAACUGUGAGUUCUCCUGGCAGCUGGGCUUGUGGAAUAUCCACAGAGGAGCAUGGAGCUUCGUUUUCAAAUCCUAGCUUUGCCUGAUAGGAGCUACAUCUCUCAGAUGGAUUCAUUAUAAUCAUGGGACUGUAGGCUUUGAUUCUGAGAAGAUGUUCUAACCCUGGCCUACUUGCUGGUAUCUCAAUUUCAUUUUUCAUGGUGAAAUCACAUUGGUUCUGGUAUUGUCAAGACCAUCUCUCUCUGCAUAUGGCUGCAGAAUAAGCUAUUUCUAAUGUCAAGUUACAAAAUACAUUGAAAUGACAAGAGUCAUUUUAGAAGAAGGUAUGGAGGAGCAGAAAGGAGAAAGCAUGCACUGCACCAGGAUGUGGGACCAUCUCUUUGACCUCUGGAGACGUCUGAAAGAACAUGGGUGCUCAUAGCUAAAGAGCAGUGGAUGUCAGACAAUGCUAAGAGACGAUCUUAAAUGAUUAGAGUUUAUUUAAGCCAUCAAGCCACUUCUGAAGAACCAGAAACCUGUCAAGUACUACUUUCUGUCAAAAAGCAAAAAGGAAAUACACAUUUUGAUCUGGAAAUUCAUCUUGGACCAUGUACAUGGACUUGCUGAUUGCAAUUGCC
ensembl:lncRNA